AGCGAACGUUAGCGGCGGGCCUAACACAUGCAAGUCGAACGCGAAAGGUCUUCGGACUGAGUAGAGUGGCGCACGGGUGAGUAACACGUAGGUAAUCUACCCUUUGGCGGGGGAUAACGUUCCGAAAGGAGCGCUAAUACCGCAUAAGACCACGGAGUCUCCGGACGCUGUGGGAAAAGGUGGCCUCUUCUUGAAAGCUACCACCGAAGGAUGAGCCUGCGUCCCAUCAGCUAGUUGGUAAGGUAAUGGCUUACCAAGGCGAAGACGGGUAGCUGGUUUGAGAGAAUGAUCAGCCACACUGGCACUGGAACACGGGCCAGACUCCUACGGGAGGCAGCAGUGAGGAAUAUUGGACAAUGGGCGCAAGCCUGAUCCAGCCAUGCCGCGUGAGUGAAGAAGGCCUUCGGUUGUAAGACUCUUCUAGGUGGAAGAAAUACGCACUUUUAAUUACUAAGGUAGUGG
rnacentral:rRNA from 1 species